CCAGGUGGCUGGAUGGCCGCUUCCCAUGGGAUCCCAUGGGGAGAGGAAAGUCCGGGCUCCACGGAAAUACGGUGCCGGGUAACGCCCGGCGGGGGCAACCCCAGGGAAAGUGCCACAGAAAGCAAACCGCCGGCCCCAUUCCAAGGCUUGUCCCUGGAGUCGGUCGGCAAGGGUGAAAGGGUGCGGUAAGAGCGCACCGCGCGCUCGGCAACGAGGGCGGCACGGUAAACCCCACCGGGAGCAAGACCGAAUAGGGGCGACAGGGUGUCAAAAUCCAGCGCAUUUCCGCGCCGUCGCCCGGGUUGGUCGCGUGAGGCGUCCGGUAACGGACGUCCCAGAUGAAUGGUCAUCCACCGCGGCUUUCCGGGCGACCGGAUAGCAUGGCGGGGACAGAACCCGGCUUACAGGCCGCCUGGCACC
rnacentral:RNase_P_RNA from 2 species